AUUUUUUACACUAAUUUCAGCAUUUGUACGUAAGAUUAGAGUAAAUGUAGUUUCCAGGAGAAACAGUAUUGUUGUUGCUUUAAUGUAGACUUCUAGAUUCGGCUUUGAAAGGAGGCUGAUUUACUAGGUCUGCAAAGAGUUCUAAGCAUCUUUAAUUUUAAUCGUCAGUCCAGAUGAUUUUGAUAUAGGGGGCCAUGGCCUGUGAUCCCCACUGAUUUUGAUGGCUAUUACUUAUGUUGAAGACCUUGUUAUCAGCUGCCGAAAUUUCUCAAUUUCAGUCAUUUUAGGCUCACUUAUUUUUUUCUAUCAUUACAAGAUUAUCAGACACUGAAUUUCAAAAAGCACAUUGUACAAAAGUCUCUCUUGACUCUUCUCUAGGUAAGAAGAAAAAGUUAGCACUACAAUGCUAUAGUCACAUUUAUGUUUUUGUUUUCACACGCACUUCAUAUCUAAGACUCAGUGGGCCUCACCAAGAAACAAAGUAAUGCAGAUUACCCUCCAUAAAGUGAACGAGACCCAUCCAAUUAGCGGAAGGCCUUCAAGCAAAAAAAAAUAUACUGGCCUCUCCUAAAGAAGAAGAAAUUCUGCCAGCUGCCUGUCUUUAUACUACUGGAGCUGCAACAGUAGCUCUUCCCUGAAUACCCAGCAUGUGAACCUAUUCUGCAGAUUUUGGACUUGCUAUCCUCCACAAUAUUGUAUGAGUCAAUUUCUUAAAAUAAAUGUCUCCCUUUCUCUCCACACACAAAUACACACAUACACAGAGACACAUGCACACACAGAGAGAACCUAUUACUUCUAUUUCUCUGAAGAACUCUAAUACAAAAACCCAGCAUAUGUUCUAUUUUGGUGAAUAUUUCAUGUGCCCUUCAAAAGAAUGUGAACUUUUCUUGUGUAUGAAUGUGUCUAUAAUUGCAAAUUAUUUAGCUAGUUGUUAAUUUUUUUCAGGCCAACUUGUUCUAUUAAAUAAUAAAAGAGAAGUGUGAAAGUUCUCAAAUAUAAUUAGUGGGUGUAUGUAUUUCUAUUUGCAGUUUUUCAGUUUUUGCUAUACGUUUUCUGAAGCCCUGUCACUAGAGACAUAUACUUUCAGGGUUAUGUCUGUCUUCUCGAUGAAUUUACCAUUUUAUUUUUAUGAAAUGUCCCUUAUAACUUCUGGUAAUAUUCAUUCUUUUAAAUUCUGUUUUUUCUAAUGAUAAUUUAGUAACUCCAGCCUUCUUAUUAUCAGUGUACACAUUGGAUACUUUUCCUCUUCUUUUAGUCUUAAUGUUUCAUAUUUAAUCGAGUUCUUUAGGUAUAGUAUAUAAUUUGGCC
rnacentral:lncRNA from 10 species